AGAGUUUGAUCCUGGCUCAGAACGAACGCUGGCGGCGCGCCUAAUACAUGCAAGUCGAGCGAGAAGGUGUAGCAAUACACUUGUAAAGCGGCGAACGGGUGAGGAAUACAUGGGUAAUCUACCAUCGAGUGGGGAAUAACCAACCGAAAGGUUGGCUAAUACCGCGUACGCCUCCGAGUCUUCGGGUUCGGAGGGAAAGCUGCACUGUGAGUGUAGCGCUCUUUGAUGAGCUCAUGUCCUAUCAGCUUGCUGGUAGGGUAACGGCCUACCAAGGCUUUGACGGGUAGCUGGUCUGAGAGGACGAUCAGCCACACUGGCACUGCGACACGGGCCAGACUCCUACGGGAGGCAGCAGUAAGGAAUAUUGCGCAAUGGGCGAAAGCCUGACGCAGCGACGCCGCGUGGGGGAUGAAGGUCUUCGGAUUGUAAACCCCUUUCGGGAGGGAAGAUGGAGCGAGCAAUCGUUCGGACGGUACCUCCAGAAGCAGCCACGGCCAACUUCGUGCCAGCAGCCGCGGUAAUACGAAGGUGGCAAGCGUUGUUCGGAUUCACUGGGCGUACAGGGUGUGUAGGCGGUUUGGUAAGCCUUCUGUUAAAGCUUCGGGCCCAACCCGGAAAGCGCAGAGGGUACUGCCAGGCUAGAGGGUGGGAGAGGAGCGCGGAAUUCCCGGUGUAGCGGUGAAAUGCGUAGAGAUCGGGAGGAAGGCCGGUGGCGAAGGCGGCGCUCUGGAACAUACCUGACGCUGAGACACGAAAGCGUGGGGAGCAAACAGGAUUAGAUACCCUGGUAGUCCACGCCC
rnacentral:rRNA from 1 species